GCAUAAGUAGGAUAAUCUUUACCUGUCUUUUUCUUGGAGGGCAGGUUGGAACAUGAUGAUUUGAGUUCCCAUGAUACGUGAUUAACAUCUGUGUAUAAUCAAGGCUUGCAACACCCUGAUUGCUCCUAUCUUAU